UAAAAAGGUCUGGACUGUAGCUCAUGGG
rnacentral:piRNA from 1 species